GCGUGCUUAACACAUGCAAGUCGAGCGAUGAAGUUUCCUUCGGGAAAUGGAUUAGCGGCGGACGGGUGAGUAACACGUGGGUAACCUGCCUCAUAGAGUGGAAUAGCCUUCCGAAAGGAAGAUUAAUACCGCAUAAUGUUGAAAGAUGGCAUCAUCAUUCAACCAAAGGAGCAAUCCGCUAUGAGAUGGACCCGCGGCGCAUUAGCUAGUUGGUGGGGUAACGGCCUACCAAGGCGACGAUGCGUAGCCGACCUGAGAGGGUGAUCGGCCACAUUGGGACUGAGACACGGCCCAGACUCCUACGGGAGGCAGCAGUGGGGAAUAUUGCACAAUGGGGGAAACCCUGAUGCAGCAACGCCGCGUGAGUGAUGAAGGUUUUCGGAUCGUAAAGCUCUGUCUUUGGGGAAGAUAAUGACGGUACCCAAGGAGGAAGCCACGGCUAACUACGUGCCAGCAGCCGCGGUAAUACGUAGGUGGCGAGCGUUAUCCGGAUUUACUGGGCGUAAAGGGAGCGUAGGCGGAUGAUUAAGUGGGAUGUGAAAUACCCGGGCUCAACUUGGGUGCUGCAUUCCAAACUGGUUAUCUAGAGUGCAGGAGAGGAGAGUGGAAUUCCUAGUGUAGCGGUGAAAUGCGUAGAGAUUAGGAAGAACACCAGUGGCGAAGGCGACUCUCUGGACUGUAACUGACGCUGAGGCUCGAAAGCGUGGGGAGCAAACAGGAUUAGAUACCGUGGUAGUCCACGCCGUAAACGAUGAAUACUAGGUGUGGGGGCUUCAACACCUCCGUGCCGCCGCUAACGCAUUAAGUAUUCCGCCUGGGGAGUACGGUCGCAAGAUUAAAACUCAAAGGAAUUGACGGGGACCCGCACAAGUAGCGGAGCAUGUGGUUUAAUUCGAAGCAACGCGAAGAACCUUACCUACACUUGACAUCCCUUGCAUUACUCUUAAUCGAGGAAAUCCCUUCGGGGACAAGGUGACAGGUGGUGCAUGGUUGUCGUCAGCUCGUGUCGUGAGAUGUUGGGUUAAGUCCCGCAACGAGCGCAACCCUUGUCGUUAGUUACUACCAUUAAGUUGAGGACUCUAGCGAGACUGCCUGGGUUAACCAGGAGGAAGGUGGGGAUGACGUCAAAUCAUCAUGCCCCUUAUGUGUAGGGCUACACACGUGCUACAAUGGCUGGUACAGAGAGAUGCAAUACCGCGAGGUGGAGCCAAACUUAAAAACCAGUCUCAGUUCGGAUUGUAGGCUGAAACUCGCCUACAUGAAGCUGGAGUUACUAGUAAUCGCGAAUCAGAAUGUCGCGGUGAAUACGUUCCCGGGUCUUGUACACACCGCCCGUCACACCAUGAGAGUUGGCAAUACCCGAAGUCCGUGAGCUAACCGCAAGGAGGCAGCGGCCGAAGGUAGGGUCAGCGAUUGGGGCG
rnacentral:rRNA from 1 species